GUUGAGGUCUAUCCCGCUGGGGCUUUUUCUAUAAAUCUACAUCGUUGGAAAUGCCUCAUAGAGCAACUCUGGUUUCCUUUACUCAUAGAACGACAUGUUAGAUCUGUGGGGAAGAACCACAAGACAGCU
ensembl:snoRNA